CUCAGCCCCGCCGGCAGCGGGAGCGCUCCGCCGGCCGGGCGGGCUCUGCCCUGCGGGCCCUGCCCAGCCCUGCGCCCAACCCAGCCCGCAGGCACCUCCUCGACGCCCGGCUCUGCAGAUCUAGAGGGGAUGUUUGAAGACAUCACCUAUCCACCACUGCCAUCUUUUCUCAUUCUAUCCUCAGAAUUGCCAUCAGCUGGUGUGAGCUGUGGGCCUCCAUUCUGAGAUCAAAGUGUGGAACCUCAGCUCACAGUGCCACAGGAUUCUCCAGGCUGACACCAAGACACCACAUCAAGUACAGCUUUUCAGGACAGAAAGGAUUGCAGUGGUGCUCAAUGCAGUUUGCUCUGAAGAAAACUUGUGUUUUCAGAAAUUGGAAUUCCCUGUCCUGUUGUCUCAGCCUUGUGCAGAGUGUUCUGAAAAAGCAAUUAUUUAUUUAA
rnacentral:lncRNA from 1 species